CAGAUUUAAUAGAAGUGAUAUUUAUUUCAUGUGUCAAUAUCAAACAAUUAUGGGGCAAAUAUCAAUAAGCUUGGAUUUACUCCAGGGUGAUACUAACAUGUACUUUGGUCAUCUCCUACCUACAAUUGAAGAAUUAAUUUAUAAAUACGAAUUAAUGACAAGUGAUUAAACAGUUUCUAAUUAUUUGAAACCUCUGGUGACUGCUAUACUUAAUGGUAUGAAAACAAGGUUUGCCGAUUAUUUGAUACCAAAUUUUUAAUUACUGCUGCAGUCUGCCACCCACCAUUUAAAAAAUUAGGGAUUAAAAAUGAUGUAAAAAUAUAAUUGGCUCCAGAAUAUUUAAAAAGUGUCUGUUAUGACUUACAUACUAGUGAUAAUGACAAUAAUGAUGUAGAAAAUAACCAAAUGAAAGAUAAUUUAUCUACCUUUUUUACCUGGUCACAAAAUUCUCGAGAGGAAAAAUCAACAGUUGGUGAUGAAAUAGAUAGAUAUUUGGGCACAUCUCCAACAAAGACUUUAGAAUGUUUUCAUAAUUUACCCACUAUCAAAAAAGUGUUGGUGAAGUACAACACUACCUAUCAGUGCAUCAGUAGAGAGAGUGUUUAGUGUUGUUGAUGCAACAAUACAAAAAAAGAACAAAUAUGACGGAUCAACAUUUUGAACAAAUAUUGUUCUUAAAAUG